GAUGAACGCUGGCGGCGUGCCUAAUACAUGCAAGUCGAGCGGACAGAUGAGGAGCUUGCUCCUCUGACGUUAGCGGCGGACGGGUGAGUAACACGUGGAUAACCUACCUAUAAGACUGGGAUAACUUCGGGAAACCGGAGCUAAUACCGGAUAAUAUAUUGAACCGCAUGGUUCAAUAGUGAAAGACGGUUUUGCUGUCACUUAUAGAUGGAUCCGCGCCGCAUUAGCUAGUUGGUAAGGUAACGGCUUACCAAGGCAACGAUGCGUAGCCGACCUGAGAGGGUGAUCGGCCACACUGGAACUGAGACACGGUCCAGACUCCUACGGGAGGCAGCAGUAGGGAAUCUUCCGCAAUGGGCGAAAGCUUGACGGAGCAACGCCGCGUGAGUGAUGAAGGUCUUCGGAUCGUAAAACUCUGUUAUUAGGGAAGAACAAAUGUGUAAGUAACUAUGCACGUCUUGACGGUACCUAAUCAGAAAGCCACGGCUAACUACGUG
rnacentral:rRNA from 1 species